rnacentral:rRNA from 1 species
AGAGUUUGAUCAUGGCUCAGAUUGAACGUCUCGGCGGCAUGCCUAACACAUAGCAAGUCGAACGGUAACAGGCCUUCGGGCGCUGACGAGUGGCGGACGGGUGAGUAAUACGUAUUGAUUCGCCCAGUAGCGGGGGACAACUUAGGGAAACUUAAGCUAAUACCGCAUACGCCCUACGGGGGAAAGCAGGGGAUCUUCGGACCUUGCACUAUUGGAUGAGCCUACGUCGGAUUAGCUUGUUGGUGAGGUAACGGCUCACCAAGGCGACGAUCCGUAGCUGGUCUGAGAGGACGAUCAGCCACACUGGGACUGAGACACGGCCCAGACUCCUACGGGAGGCAGCAGUGGGGAAUAUUGGACAAUGGGGGCAACCCUGAUCCAGCAAUGCCGCGUGUGUGAAGAAGGCCUGCGGGUUGUAAAGCACUUUCGGUAGGGACGAAAAGCUGAGGGCUAAUAUCCUUCAGUCUUGACUUAACCUAAAGAGAAGCACCGGCUACUCCG